AAGAUGAGAGCCAGAGCAAAGGUCAGAGGAUCCAUCAGAGACUCAAACCAGAACCAGAACCAGAACCCAGCUGUGUGUCCUUUAAAAGUGACAGGUCAAAGGGUGAGGUCAUUAACUUUAAAUCUCCUGGAUCUCCACCAUCAGAGAGCUUAUCAGGCUGUUUGGUCUCAGAGGAAGGCUGUGCUUCU